rnacentral:rRNA from 1 species
UUGUCGAAAUCUGCAAAGCAGAAUAACUUGCGAACAAGUGAAAAAUCAUGGUUGCCUUCUCAUUUGAGUUGAUCAUUGGGAGGGCGGUCUCUCAUUGUGCCCCCAAAUGUCGUCCCUCUCAUGGUCCCAAUCAACACACCUCAGCGCGGAAUGCGCCAAGGAACACGAAAAUAAGUUAUGUAGCCUCUUGCAUCGUAAAUGGUUGUGCGUGGCUUGCGUAUUUUGCUUAAUCUAAUGUUACAACGACUCUCGGCAACGGAUAUCUUGGCUCUCGCAUCGAUGAAGAACGUAGCAAAAUGCGAUAGCUGGUGUGAAUUGCAGAAUCCCGCGAACCAUCGAGUUUUUGAACGCAAGUUGCGCCUGAAGUCGUCAGGCUAAGGGCACGCCUGCCUGGGUGUCACCCUCCCCCUUGCCCAAGUAAACAUGUCUCGUCCCAUUGAAAAAUGGAAAGAGGGGUGAUGGGUGCAUGUAAUGGCCUCCCAUGACGAUGAUUUUGUGGUUGGCCCAAAAUUUUGCACAUGCAUAAGGGAAGCCACGACAAGCAUUGGCGAAAACUACGGUGAUUCAUUGAUCCUUUCUGUUGUGGCUACACUUUGUACUGUGCACUAAAAUACCUCGGUGCUUGCAUUCUAAAAUUGCGACCCCAG